GAAGCAGCUCACUAUUCUUGUGCAUCCUUAGAUAGAAUACUACAACCAAUCCUCAGAAUCCUCAGAAUGGAGAAGGCCCUGGGAGCCUUAUCAGUGGUUUUCUGUCUUCACCUGGACUGGGUGAGCAGUCAAGACAAAAUAGAGCAGAGUCCUCCAUCUCUGAGUGUCCAGAUGGGAGAGAACAUCACUAUGACCUGUAGUUACACAGUAAGCAAUUUUAAAAAUUUACAGUGGUACAGACAGUAUCCUGGGAAAGGCCCCAGGAUUCUCCUGACCGUGUAUUCAAAAGCAAAAUGGGAAGGAAGAUUUAGAGCCAUCUUAGAGAAGGAGCAUAGUGACUUGUACAUCCUAACUUCUCAACCUGGAGACUCAGGCACCUACCUCUGUGCUGUUGGGCCACAGCGUUCACCCAACACCUGCAGUCUAUGCACAAACCUAGCAGGAGGGGCUCAGGCCUAAAGGUAGAGGCAUGCUCAACUUGUGAUUCUCA